ACUUGGGUUUGCUCCACCGCUUUUGCUUCCUAUUCUCUCUUUCCUUCUUUAUUUUCUUUUUAGUUUUGUACCUUUUCUUCUACGGAACAGAAAACUUGAUAGUUUCCUUCUCCUCGGCUGCCACUUCUCAAAUCCUCCAAACCUAAAACUACCAACAAUAACCUCCUACACAGAUGUCAUUUUUAGGUUCCUCGAUAAUACCAUUGAAGUCAAUGGCCGCUCUGAAAAUCCCAACCAACACUCAGAAUACUCAGCUUCAUCAUUCUCGAGAACUCCCUCUUUCAAUUUCAUCUUCGUCCUAGUCAGUCACAAGAAGAUUAUUGUUUGGAGAUCAAUAGAAUUACUGUAGGGUUUUCUCUCCAGAGAUUCGUCACUUCUUCUCCUCUUCUUUCUUUUCCAUUCUUUCUCUCAUCCCAUCCUCUAAAAUUUCUCAUCUAUUUUCGAUUUGUCAUUUUUUCCAAAACCCUAAUUUUUUAACCCAAGGCGUGCCCAUGCAUUUGCCAUCAGUUUAGUCUAGAGACUCCAGACACUUCUGCUGCUUCAUCCAUUUCAUUUUUUCCACUCUAAAGCCAUUACAUCACUCAGUAACAUCUACACAUUCCUUCUUCCUUUUUUCCACCCUAAAAUUUUUUUCGUAGCCCUAAAUCACACCUACAACUUGAAGUGAUUUCUACCAAAAUCUUCUCUCAAACCCUCAACUUAUUCCACGUCUUUUGCUCUCAGAAAAAUAUGGUCAAAGAAGUAGCCGAUGAUGGAAUCCUUUGGGAUGUAUCUAACAAAAGCAUUUCUAGCUGUGAUUUUACCUAACCAUCAGUUAUGAUAGCACUGAAGGUUACAAUUAAGAAAUAGCAAAAAUUGGAAGGAUACAGUGGAUGAAUGGGAGAGAUUGAAUCGACUUGAUCAAGCAUCAGUAGCUAUCAUUGGAAGUGGAACAGAAAAAUGCUAAAAAGGGAUACCUUCUUGGGAGAAUGCUCUGCACGUGGGAAGCUUCCAAAAUUAGUACAAAUCUGGCUCUACAUUGUGCUACAACGGAGCCCUUUCCUUUUGCUGACUAGGAGUUUACUAGUAUUGGGGAGUUUUACAAACAUUAGGAAAUGAAAAACAAGGAACAUUAGAUAGUUGCUUUACUUUUUGUUUUCUUUUCCUAAUUGGAGGGGAACUAACCGGGGGGAAGGCUAGUAAUUGUUUUAGAGAAAAACAGCUUUCGUUUUUGUUUCCUCUCCCGUUCUUGCUAUUAGGCCAAUGGAAAAAUAGUGUUUAUUCGUGAUUGUAUUAGAGAAAAACAGAUGCCUUUGAAAUCAAUUAAAUUGCGUGGAAAUUUUCUCAUGAGGCGUGGCUAAACGUUUCAUCUAGUCAAGGAUCAAUGCGACGACGCGGUCCCGAAUACCUGUGAGAUCAAAUUGGUUUUCAUGUGUUCCUUAAUUUGUUGAUAUUUGCACGUUUUCUACUUGAAUUUCUUUGAGAUCAUUUUGUUAAUUGGAUAUCAAGGGCCCGAUAUUCAAGGUGACUUGUUAAUCUCCUACUAAUUUAAUCAAUUAAUCCGUACUUGUUUAAUCGAUUAAUGUCAGUGGCAACUAGUGCUUAUACAUACUAGAGGAACGUGCGAUCUGAUCUAAAUAACCCUCGUAGCAUGUUAUUGAUUAGGGUUAGAUUUUUCUAAUUCUUAAUGCAACUAGGGGGUUAACUCUUACGGUUGUACCUAGGAGUGUUUUCUGGUUAUGGGUAAUUAAUGAUCGUACCUUGGUUAUCAAUAAACUAAGGAAAACAUGGUCGUCGGAGCUUGUUGACGAUUAUAACUAACCUAUUAAUAAAUUAAGUGAACCUCCCUUGCAUCAAUGAUCGGAUGAAUGGACUGCGUCUGAGAAGUUGUAUCCUUGGCUAGAAUUUGUCUAUUAUUGAUUUAAUUCCUGUCUACAUUCAUACUAGUUAAUUGUUUGUUUUUUGUUGAAUUGCUUAAUUGUUUUUAGCUUUAUUCCGAUAAAACCCCUCAUUGUCAAUUGAAACUUCAAAGAGACAAAUAUCCCCAUUCCCUGUGGAUAUGACCCUGCUUAUCACUAUCUACAGAAAUCAUAUUUUGUUUGAGUAGGCAUUUAUUAUUGUACAGACUUGACACCUGUCAGUAGGUUGGAGGAUUUUGGAUAAAACCCAAAUUUGAUUUCUCUCAAAACUUUAAAAGACAAACUCUAGCCUUUUUAAACAAUAUUGAGAUUUCUUUCCACCCUACCCACGCCUCCCCCCUUCCCUAAAGUCAUAAGAUUUUUCUCCACUCUUCGAUUUUUAGACUCAACAAUGGCCACUCCAAGAGCAGUCGCUUCGCCCCAUGCAUCCCCUUAUCAAAGCCGAUACUUUCAUCGACAACAAGCGGAAAGAUGGCAUCCGAAUCAUUAACAUCUCCAACACACAAUCUAUCAGCGACACUAUUUGCACAAACUUAGGUAGGUGGAGUUUGGAUGAGGAUCUUCUAGCCUAGACAAUUAGAAUGUUUCUCCAAAUUGUCGAAUUCUAUGCCUUUCAAAUUAGUUAAUGAAACAAGGUGCAAGUUCUCAAAACUUCGUUUCUAGGUCAAAUAUUUAAGAUAUUUGAAACUUCCACUUGUAAGCAAAUGUCACACAGAGAUAGAAGGAAGGUGCUUCAGAUUUUUCUUGAAAUAUAUUUUAAUUAACAUUGUAGAGUAGAAAUUAGUCAAAUUAUGUGAAGAUUACCUAGUAUAGCAUAUCAUCCUAUAAUUUGUGUAUACAAGCAUUUGCACUUUUGACAAAAUUUGGACUUCGAUCAAAAUGGUUUAUUUACAUGGUGUUGUUUUGUUUCUAUGCAUGUAUAAGGGCAAUCUUUGUAGUUAGGGGUGUAAUUUCAUUUCUACCAGAUGAUCACAUCUAAGGGUAUAACUUAAUUAACCUUUUUAUCUUAUUCACAUGUGUUUGGAAGCAAAAGUAUUAUAAUUUGAGACGUUAGAUGGGAUUUCUUAAACCUUAUGACUCUCAGAUGGGAAUUCUUUUAGAAUCAUGAAACUGAUGGGUUUCCCUAAUAAAUCUAUAGUCUGGAUUGCUAACUGUGUUUGCACUGCCUUAUUCUCUUUGAAUUUAAGUGGCUUGGUUAUUUUAGAAAUAGAAGGGGGUUAAGGUAGGGAGAUCCUAUUUCUCCCUACCUAUUUCUAUUUGCUAUGGAAAAUUUUUAACUCUUAACUUGAAAUAUUUCAAGAAGGCUUUGAUUACUGUCCAAAAUACCAGUAGCUUAGUUUCUGAGAGGAUGUUCAGAUUAUGCCCACAUAUAGAGUAUGGUUCAACCUUGGCAUGUGAAGGUUAAGUGGAUGAUUGAUCGUUGGGUUUCAAUUUCAUUCCUUGACAAAGCAAAAAGAGUUAUGCUUUAUGCUUCAGCGUAUCAAAUCUGGAAAGCAAGGAAUCAAUCUAUCUUUCAGCAUAUUCUAGCUAUUCUUAUGUGUAUUGUUUCAGAGAUUGUGGAGUUUAUGCAUGUUGCUAUUGCUGGUUGGGGAAAGAUUCAAGAUUAACGCAAAUUGGGAGUUGCUUCUGGAAAUUGGUUCACCUAUCGCAUGUUUGAUUGAUUGAUACUUGUAUAGAAUGGUGUAUUUUUAUGUAAAUAGUCUCUUUUGACUUGUGUAUAGACUUCAUUUUUAUUCAAUAAAAAAAUUAAAUUUUGCUAG